GCGUCCUUAGCUCAGUGGUAGAGUGCUUGCAUGACACGCAAGAGGUCGCAGGUUCGAUCCCUGCAGGACGCA
rnacentral:tRNA from 1 species